UGGAAUUUUUGGAUGAGUUUUGGAUAGGUUUGGGAAUUUCCGAAGUUUAGUUUUUUUGGCGGUUAAAUACUGUAGAUUCCGGUCGUAGGAUCUAAGUCGUUGUUCUGGGGAGGUUGUAAUUACGGCUGCCGAGUAUGGUAUUAAAGUUUGGGUCGUUUCGAUUUAAGAAUAUCGAAGUUAGGCAAUGAUUAGCGUGUUUAUGACUCUCGGUUAAUUUUGCCUAUUGUGUAAAUAUUAGAUUUUUAGUUGGGAAAUUAAUUAUAUGUUUGGAUCAGGACGUGAGGAGGCUAGAGUGGAAGAGGCCUCGGUUCGAUGUCGGGCUUAGGCCUAAAGUUGUGAGUGGACUUUUGUUUUAAAAUAUAUGCAUGCGGUGAUUCUAUAUUAAAUGAUUGAUUUUAUUGAAUAUCAAUGUGGAAUUGUUUAUUUUCGCGAAGUCAUUUGCAGAAGUCAAUGUUCUCAUUUUUAAUGGCUAUCGUGUUAUUUGGAAAGAUACCGAAAAUGAGAUUUUUGGUGGAGUCGUGUGCAUAUUGCUAUUUAUGAUAAUUGGCAAUUUUCAUUAUUGUUGGAGAAUAACCGAAAUUGAGAAUUUCGGUGAGUAUAUAUAUAUAUAUAUCCAUAUUUGGAUGAUCAUGAGAAUAAUUUGUAUAUGAAGGAAUGCUAGCUAGCCAUAUGUGUCUGUCCACCUUAAUGGCGUAGCAUAUAGCCGCAUUAUGGUGUGAUGUGAGCGUUGGACGCGAGCGUAGUAGCCCUAUAUGAGUGUUUAAUUCAUAUAGGGGGUAUGGGCACAUAUUUAUACACCCGUCUGUCCACCUUAAUGGCGUAGUGUAUCACCGCAUUAAGACGUGACGUGAGCGUUGGACGCAAGCGUAGUAGCCUUGUAUGAACUUCUAUUUUUCUUAUAUUUUUCAUAAGAAUUCAUACAAGGAGUAUGGACGAGUGUAGAUACAUACAUAUAUAUUUGUAUUUUAGCCUGAGAGACUGGCCGAAGCUAGUCAUGAAAUUUUCAGUUUUUGUGUUGAGCGUUUUUGAGCUGUCGCAUGUAGCAUGUUUUCUAUGGAAAUGUAAAUUGGGAAAGCAUAAAUAUUUUCAUUAAAUUUAUGUUUUUGUCCAAAUGUUUUCCCCUGGGCCAUUCGUUUUAAAAUACCCAGUUGCAGGAUUGCAUAGUAGAGGUCGGGCGUACAUGGAGAUGAGGCAUAGUCAUCAUAUAGCUUCCGUUUGUUAAUUUAUUAUGUUUCCUUUCUUCCUAUUAGUGUUGCUCUGAACCUAUAAAUGGUUGGAUAUGAGAUUUGUGUAGAUAUUUAAAUAAUUGGGAGAUGUUGUGAUUUGGGGGAGCAUGAAGGCUCCAGGAGUUUAAGGUUGGAUUUGGUUUAUCAGAAGUGUAUGUAGGUUUUCUUAGGAAGGGUUGUCCAUUUUCAAGGGAGGUUAUGUCGAAUUUUCGGUAAAUUUUCCUUGGAGGUGGUCCCCGCAGGAUUUACUUCUGGUUUUAGAGUGAAAUUCGGGGUGGGUCCUGACAUCGGAGUGGCGGGUGGAUGCGGUGGCGAUGAGUGGAGGAGGUGGGUGGAUGCGCGCACUUUAAUCGGUGGUCGAUGCGCUGAUGGGGUCUGGUGGCGCAGCUCUGGUGGGAUUUGAGAAUUGUGGGUGUGAAUUUAAUUAGGGAUUGUGGAUUGUGCGAGGGAGUUAGUAUAGGUUUUAAAUUAGAUUUCGUCGCCUAAGACAUUUAUUCGUGUCCUAAGUAAUACGAAAUUUCGGGCAAAAAAUUUGACGCAAAAUUCACCCGCCUAAUAUUUUGGGAUCCGAGACGACGGAAAAUGUAUUUUCCGUCGCAUUGGUUUACCAAACCGACGACUUAUACAAUUUCCGUCGUCUAAGUAACAUAAAAUUUUUAAAAUGUGACUAAUAUUUUGGGUAUCCUAAGCGACUGAAAGUCCACUUUCCGUCGCCUUAUGAGUAUUAGGCGACGAAUUAUUCAAAUUCCGUCGACUAAGUAUAUUAUUAAAAAUUUCCACAAUUUUAUUAUAUUUGCAUCUGAGCAUUCUCGUGUAACUUUUCAAACUAAACCCAAUUAUAACUCUGUGUAAGUAUUUGUACUUAAUAAAGCAUACAUAUAUAUGCAUUUUAAAAAUUACAAUGAAAAUUUGCAUGAAUAUUAUAUAAUUAAGGAUUAAAUUCAGUGUGCUAUCCUGAACUUUAGAUCAUUUAUCAGUUGUACCCUUGUUCUUUUUUUUUCUAUCAUGUGUACCCCUAUACUCUGAAAAUUCAUCAAACUUGGACAAAAAUACAAAUUUUCUCCGAUCAUGACGUCAGAACCGGACGUGAAAGAGACAUGUUUGGCCCAUUUUUAUAUUUGUAACCCUAAUUUUGGCAAAAGACCAAUUUGACCCUAACAAAAUUCUUCUUUUUCUUCUUUUUUUUUCUCUCUCUCUCAUCUCGAUCACUCUCUCUCUCUCUUUCUUUUUUUCUCUCAACCACCUCUUCUACUUCCUCUCACUCUCAUCUCCUCUCC
rnacentral:lncRNA from 1 species